ACUAACAUGCUCUGCAAUGGAAUAGGAUCCGACGCCCCGUUGAGGGAUAAUAUAGGCUCUCCUAUCCAACUCCUAUCCCGACUCGUUCUUGUCGAGCAGAGUGAUAAUAUGUGCCUUAUAAUUCAGCAUUAGUACAAGAACUUCAUCCAACGCCAAAGCUGGAUGAUAGCGCAUGGCAGAUCAGGAAGGA
rnacentral:ribozyme from 1 species